AAACACCCAAGAAUUAUCAAUAAAAAAAUAAAUUAAAAAAAAAAAUAAAUAAAUAAAUCCAGCAAAAAUAAAAAUAAAAAAUAAAAUCCCCUUGAAUACAUUUGAGGUAAUGUUGUAGUUUUCAGCUCCUCCCACGAGAGAUUUUAUGGAGUGCCUAACUGUGCUACCCGGGUGCUGCUCCUGUCGUUAGUGGUGGCACCCAGGAGGAAUUAAAAUUACAAGAGUGUUUCCUUCCAGAUGUUGUUGCUACAGGCUCAAGGUGCUCUUUUAACUGGGACAUCAGGCUUUCUUGAAAUAGACAAGAAUUCUAGAAACAUGACAUUGUGCCUGAUUCAUCGCUUCAACUUGCCACUGACUCAUUCUCUCCUUGAUAGGUUAUUCAACAGUAACUUUAAUUACAUCAUUUACUUAUUGUUUUCUUCCUUGAUUUAUUCUCUUUCUACAAUUCUUGUUUAUCAUCUCAGUGAUUGGACCAUCUCACCUCUGAGACUUGGGUAGAAUUCUGUGGACUCUGGAAAUAGACAUGGAGGUUUUCAUGUAUCUCUGUUAAUGUGUACAAACACCCCCAGGCUUGUACACUUGAAAUACAUCAGUAGGAAGGGUAGUUCUCAAUUUGCUAGUGUUUCACACAGCUUGUCUUAUUUAAUGAUCUCAGCUGCCCUAUGAAGUAGAUACCAUCCUAUUAAAAAAUGCAGGAGCAGAGGCUCUGAGAGGGGACUGUAACUUACCCAAGAUCAUGUGGUAGAUUGCAAAACUGGUUCCAAAUCCCUACCCUUCCCUGUACGCACACCUUUUGCCAUUCAUCUGCAAUGUCCUUUUCUGAUUCUGGGCUCAGCAAUAUAACUUGCUCUGGCCAACAGGAUAACAACAGCAAAUGUGAUGUAAGCAAAAGCUUGAGAAAUACUUGUGCAACUAAUCAUGUUUGCCUUCUCUCUUGUACCUGUGCCAUUGCCAUGAGAACAUGCCUGGGCUAGGAUUAGAGACACUUGGAGCAGAGCUGAGUCAUCCCAGCUGUCCCAGUUGAGGCCAGCCUAGGUCAGUCGAUGGCAACCAAGCCCUAAGCAUGUUAGUGAGCCCAGCCAUGAUCAGCACAACCACCUAGCCAACCAUCCCAGACCUGUGAUCAAUAAAGCCUUACUAUUCCAUACCACCUAGGUUUUGUGAUUAUUUAUUUCACAGAAUUAUUAUGGCAGUAUGUAACUGAUAGAAGCGGUGUACAGGGAAGAGUAUUUGUUAGUCCGUUUUCACACUGCUGAUAAAGACAUAUGCGAGACUGAGCAAUUUACAAAAGAAAGAGGUUUAAUGGACUUACAGUUCCACGUGGCUGGGGAAGCCUCACAAUUGUGGUGAAAGGUGAAAGUCACAUCUCACAUGGCAGCAGACAAGAGAAGAAGAGCUUGUGCAGGGAAACUCCCCUUUUAAAAACCAUCAGAUCUCAUGAUACUUAUUCACUAUCAUCAGAAUAGCCUGGGAAAGACCUGUCCCCAUGAUUCAGUUACUUCCCACCGUGUCACUCCCACAACAAGUGGGAAUUCAAGAUGAGAUUUGGGUAGGGACACAGCAAAACCAUAUUAGAGCAGAUCUCUGGAAUUGGGCAGGCCAAGGUUUGAAUCCCAUCUGUUAUUUGGAGUGUGUGUUUCUUUUUGAGACUAAUCUCCUUACCCUUGAAAUGAGGUAAUAUACUUCCCUCAUAGGGUUGCUGGGAAGAUUAAACACGAGGUGAAGUAAAUAAAGCCCCAGGGACAUAAGCAAAAAAUAAUGGCUUCUCACAGCAAUGCUCCAGAACAUACAACAAGGGAAUACUGGGCCCAGUCCCAGGACUAUCCAAGUGUGAAGCCAACACCUUUUCACAUCAACUCCAAGGUAAGGAUUAAGAACAGAAUGGCCUGGUUCUAAUCUUACCAUGAAAUGCUGCUCCCCUGAAUCUUCCAUUGCAGUAUAGAGAGCAGGACAGGCCUUUAAAAAAUUAAUGUUGCUUAAAUUUAGGAGCCUGAAAAAAAAGCCAAAUCCAAGAUUUUCCUUUGGACUUGUGGUUUUGCCAGAUAGGUGGCAGUGAUUUCGGGAAGGAGGGUUGCUUUUGUCCUGGGUAUGGGUGUGUUUCAAAGUCCUCCGGGCACAGUUGGGAGCAGGGGCCAGCCUGGCUGCGUUUGCCCUGACUCUGUUGGUUGCCCCUCUGCAUGCACAUGCAUUUUUGAUGACAGAUCAUUCAGGAAAUGUGAAUGUUUCCCUGGGAGGCUUUGCUUUUUUCACCUGGCCUUCUUUUCUGGGCCUCCUGUGGGGCUGCCCUUUCCCUUCCUUUGAAGCCAUUGUCUUCUUGACAUGAAAAAUGUACUCAGGUACGCUUAUGGCUAAUUAUCUCAAGGGGGAAGAAAAAACAAAAUGAACUCAAGGCUGAAAUAUAGAACCAUUAACUCUGUAAACUCUGAAAAGUCAUAAGACACUUUUUUAAAAUUAAAAAAAUACAUAUACAUUUGAAAUAGUUUCUUCUUAAACAGAUAAACAGAAUUAACUUGGGAUGUUUCCUACACAAUUUAGCUUCCUUCUCUCUCCCUCCACUCCCACCCCAGAUAGCUCACUUCCCUUUAUCAUCUCUGAUGCUGAUGAUGGGUGACAACAGUUAGCUGCACUGUACUCUGCCUCUAACUUAUUUUAUGACCUUGGAUAAGUUACAUGGCAUUUCUGAGCUUCUGCUUCUCAUAAGUAAGAUGACAUUGCUAUUACAUUUCUUUAAAACUUUUUUUAGUACUGUAAAACAAUAAUUUAUUACCUCUUGCAGUUCCAUGGGCUGACUGGACUCCACUGGGAGUUCUUGAUGUCUCUCGUGUGGUUGUGUGAGAUAGUGGCUGGGACUGGACUCAUCUGAAGGCUUGACUGGGCUGGAUGCCCAAGAUAGCCCACUUUUAGACAGAGGUGGCUGGCAGUUGAUGCUGACUGUCAGCUGGGGACUCAGCUGAGAGUGUUAACUGGAGUCCCUAGACGUGGCUUCUCCACAUGGCUUGGGCUUCUCAUGGAAGGGCACCUGGAUUCUGAGAGAGAGCAUCCCAAGAGACACAAGUGGAAAUGAUAAGGCUUCUUAUGACGUAGACUGGAGGUACUGAGACAUCACUUUUGCUACAUUAGAAGGUUAGAUGCUGACAUUUUAUGAUUUCACAACUUGGAUCCUCUGUCCUCUGAUACUGAAUCAGAUAGUAGUUUAUGGAGCUGAGCAGAGAGCCAGCUGGUCCUGGGCACAGAGGAGGCUGUGUUCCAUGCUGAAGACAAGAACAUAUGGUGGACGUACCAUCCUAACUAUCUGGGAAGGGAGCUUCGUGGCUACAUGGGAGUUAUCAUCUGCCAGUGCCGGCUGCAUCCUGGCUGUGCCCACCUCUGGACUCUGAAUCUCUGCACCUCAGUACCCCCAACCCCAACACGACUGUGAUGUUAGGCAUAUAUUAGGCAUGUGAAGAUGAGAAAGAGAAGAUACAGCUCCCAUGUUUAUCUCCAUGAGAAGAUAAGCCACAGGGAGAGAGAAAGACUGUUGUGCACGAGAGGGAGUGUCAAAUGCCAAAUGGAUGUCAGCAGUCGGGGUGUGCUAGAGGCACUCAGGGGAAGGGAGGCUGGGCAUAGAGGGUCAUGCUGGAGGAGGUGACUCUGGAUCUGAAUCUUGAAAGGUGAGUAGGAAUUACUCAAGGAAGGAAUGGGAAGGGCAUUUCAGGGGAGAGAUCCAUGUGAGUGAAAUAUGAGGACUGGCAGGGAACAGCAACCCACGUGGGUAACCGCAGAGUGACAGGAGGUGAGAGGUGGUGGGAGAUGGAGCUGGAGAUGCAGGCAGGGCCCAGGGUCAUGCAGGGCCUGGGAGGACAGGUUACAAUAUUCCCAUUUUCCUAGACUAGGACCUAGAAGCUCGGGAAGAUAAAGGGACUUGACUAAGGUCACAUAACUUGUAAGUGACCAGUCAGGCUUCGAACCCAGGACUCUGUGACGCCUCAGUCUCACCCCCUUUGCAUCAUCGUGUAAUGGCAGUUGCUGCUGCUGGUUUUCCCAGCUCCCUCUCCCAUUUCUCUGAGGCUCCUGGCAGACAAAGGGUGUUGCUUUUCUGCACCAUUUAUUGUAGUGACUUCAAUUAAACCAUCUUGUGCUGGAUCAGUGAGCAGCUCUAGGGAAUCGAUGAGCAGCACUGGCUACCAGGGAAGCAGAGUCUCCUCCCUUUGUUCCUGCCAAUCCUAGGUCUGGGUUCCUGUCCCCAGGUCUAGGGAGGACUCAAGAGAGGAAAUGGGGACCAGGGGGGCAGGUAGCAAAUCAUGAGACAAGGAAGCAAGUGUCUAUUACCUUCCUGACAUUGAGGGUGGGUGGCCAGCCCUUGGAUGUUCAUCUUUCCUGGCCCUGCCCACUGCUGCCCUUGCUCAGCUGCCUUCCUCUGGCUAAUUGGGACCUGCAGCUGCAGCUCCAAGACAAUGGGGCAUCCCACCUGGCUGCCUUCGGUGCAGGCCCAGUGUGCAAGGAACCUGGGCCCCAAGGAAGAGGAGCUAAGGGCCCUGUCCUAACUUGCUACAUGGCCUUUGGCAGAUUGCCUCCACUCUCUGAGGCUUCUUCUGGGGAAAAACAACAGGGUGGAAAUUGCAGUACAUGAUGCUGUUGUUCUCCACUUGUCGUCUUCAAUUCAUUGUCUCUCCUUCUUAGAAUUGCUCUGUGCCUCAGAAGGCUGAUCCCUGUGGAAUGAAUCAAUGGGUUCCUGUGUCUAUUGGCUCCAGUAUGAUUUGGCCACUGGGAGACACAGGCAGGAGGCUGGAAAGUGGGAGAGUAUUUCUUCUCUGCUACCUCUCUGCUUUGAUGCAGGGUUGGGCCAGUGCCAUUCUGCCUGGCUAUAGCUUCUUUCCAGCAGUCCUUCCCACUGCUCCAGGCCUCAGUGGGCUCCAGUAACCUUCUUUAGGCCCAUGGGUGGUUUCCAGCAUGAUAUGGUUUGGAUCUGUGUCCCUGCCCAAAUCUCAUGUGGAAUUGUAAUCCCCAUUGUUGGAGGUGGGGCCUGGUGGGAGGUAAUUGGAUCAUGAGGGCAGUUUUAAUGCUUAAGCACCAUUCCCCUAGUGCUGUUCUCAUGAUAGGGUUCUCAUGAGAUCUGGUUGUUUAAAAGUGUGUAGCACCUCCACCCUCUCUCUCUUCCUCCUGCUCUGGCCAUGUGAAUGCCUGCUCUGGCUUUGCCUUCUGCCAUGAUUAUAAGUUCCCUGAGGUCUCCCCAAAAGCAGAUGCUGCCAUGCUUCCUGUACAGCCUGUGGAACUGUGAGCCAAUGAAACCUCUUUUCUUUUUUUUUGAGACACAGUCUCGCUCUGUGGCCCAGGCUGGAGUGCAGUGGCAUGAUCUCGGCUCGCUGCAACCUCCACUUCCCGGGUUCAAGUGAUUCUCCCACCUCAGCCUCCUGAGGAGCUGGGAUUACAGACACUCCCCACCAUGCCUGGCUAAUUUUUGUAUUUUUAGUAGAGAGAGGGUUUCACCAUGUUGGCCAGGCUGGUCUCGAACUCCUGACCUCAAGUGAUCUGCCUGCCUCCGCCUCUCAAAGUGCUGGGAUUACAGGCAUGAGCCACCAUACCCAGGGCCUCUUUUCUUUAUAAAUAACCGAGUCUCAGGUAUUUAUAGCAAUGCGGCAACACACUAAUACACAGCAGUUUGCAGUCUCUGGGUUUCUCAAUAUUCUUCUUGGUUUCUUUAAUCUAGCCUUCUGUAAAUAGUACCUCCUCAGUAAGGUCUCUUCAGUUGAACUAUUUGAGCAGAGUUCUGUUUCCUGUUGGGACACUGAUGUAUUCUCUGAAGGCUCUUUCCAACUCUGAAGUCUUACACGUUCGUGAGGGGACGAUGUAACGACCUGGCUGACUCUCAGGCACCGGAGCCUGGGUUAUCCCGUGACAGUUUACAGGCUGAGUGAUCCCAGCUCCUCGGUAGUUCUUUCUUCCCCUCCUUUGGUCCUCAACCUUCACAGCCUUUGCUCAGAUUCCCAUCAUUUAUUUCUUGUUUUAAUCCGACUUUAUUGAGGUAUAAAUUACAAAUAGCAAACUACAUCCAUGAAAGUAUACAGUUAGAUGAAUACCUAUCUGUUAAAGCUUGAAUGUUUGUGUCCCUCUAAAUUCAUGUUGAAACUUAAUCCCCAUUGUGGUGGUAUUAACAGGUGGGGCCUUUUGGGAACUGAUUAAGUCAUGAGGGUUCUUCCCUUGGGAAUGGGAUUAAUGCUCUUGUAAAAGAGGCUUCAGAGGCUGGGCGUGGUGGCUCACGCCUGCAAUCUCAGCACUUUGGGAGGCUGAGGUGGGCGGAUCACAUGAGGUCAAGAGUUCAAGACCAGCUGGCCAACAUGGUGAAACCCCGUCUCUACUCAAAAUACAAAAAUUAGCUGGGCAUGGUGGCAGGCACCUGUAAUCCUAGCUACUCAGGAGGCUGAGGCAGGAGAAUCACUUGAACCUAGGACACGGAGGUUGCAGUGAGCCUAGAUUGUGCCAUUGCAUUCCAGCCUCGGCAACACGAGCAAAACUCUGUCUCAAAAAAAGAGGCUUCAGAGAGCUGCCUGGCCCUUCUCAUCCUUCUGCCAUGUGAAGACAUAGCGUGCAUCCCCUCUGGAGGGUAUAGGAACAAGGUGUCAUCUUGGAAGGAGAGAGCAAGCCCUCACCAGACACCAAAUCUACCGGCACCUUGACCUCCAGAACUUGCAGUUCCUGUUCUCCUGGCUGGACCCUGACUGAUGCCAUGGGGAAAGCCCUCGGGCUCGUGGACCUUAAAUUCCAGGUCCUGUUGUGCCCAACUCAUGAUUUAUCCAGGUCACACCAGUCUGGUCUGUCACAGUAAGAGGGCACCAUCACAUACACUAUAAUAUGAAUCAUGACCCCCGGAGUUGUGUGGAGUUUCUGCAUCUCUCCCUCCCCACUGUGGCUACCCUCAUCCAGCAACCAUCCUGUCUCUCACCGGUAUUACCGCAGCUGAGACCCAGGUCUUAAGGAAGCUGAGACCCAGGCCAGCAGGGGCCUCACAGCUUGGAAAAAGAGGAGGGUGUAAGACUCUGGAUGAAGCUGAGAGAUCCUUCCAUGCUUGGCUGAGAGACUACACAGACAUGAGCUUCAGGAGACUCCAAAGCCUCGGAUCCCCUUCUAAACUAGCACUGAAUUCUGAUUGGCUGUCUUUGCCUGCCUCAGUUUGUUCCUUUUACUGAUUGGCUAGGUUCUUCUGCCCAUGGCAGAGCCCUGCUCCAGCCACCGGAUCCUCCCACCUGCCACAGUGUCACCUGGGAUUGGCUGGGCUCUGAAAGGCCAGGCUGGCUUGACUCUUGCCAUCAUCAGAUUCUUCCUCAUUAAACAAAUGAAUCACAAUCCUAAUUAAUUUGAGCAACAGAAUUUAUGUAACUACUCCCAGCAGGAUGUCUGCUCUCAGUCAGCAGAGAGAUUACUUCCUCUCUCUGGGAAAUUCCAGCCUUGCUGGUCAAUAAGCCUUAAUGAUGACUGAAAUCUCCCAUCUGUCUCUGCUCAGGGCAGGUAACCCCUACUAAGCAGACACCCAGUUGGCUCGAGGCAGUACCCCGGGCACCGGCAGGACAAGGACAACGAUCUCCCAGCCUAGAUGUGUCCUGAGCCACAUGGAGCACACAGUAGGUGUUUACUUAAGGACAGGGGCUGCCCCUUCCAGGGAAGUUCUGAACCACUUAAAACCCACAGGAAGUGUUCAAUGUCUACUUAUGGAAUAAAUGAAAGGGAGGAUGUGUCACUCAGAUACUUAUAAAAUGGUCUCAAGAUCCUAAACUCCAAGCAAGCUUCUCCAGCUCUUUCCAGCCUUUGCUCCCCCUAUUUCCCAUGACCAUAACCCAAUUCUGUCUUUUUCCUAUUUUGAACUUUCCAGACUCAGAAAUUUGGCUCUUCAUGUUCCCUGCCCUUGAACCGUCCCAGCCCUCUCUCCAAAACAGGCUUCAUGCUGGCUGCAUGGGAGGGAGGGGUAGCAAAGUGGAAAGUGUUACAGAAUUAGUGCUAAUUCUGGCUUUGUCACUUACUCAUUGUACUUCACCUCUCUGUUCUUAACUUUUCUCUCAUACAUAAACCACACGGGGUUCUUGGGAAGAUUAAAUAAGAAAACAUGGUGAAAAUGUAUUGCACAGUACUUGACUCAUUUAAUUGGUGACAGACAGUGUUUUAGGUAAUGGAGAUACAGUGGUGCUCAAGGCAGGCAAGAUUCCUGCUCCCAAAGAAUUUAAUUUCCAGGAGACAAGAAGCAAGCUAGCAAAUGUAUAAGAUAAUAGUUAGGGAACAGUACUCAGCAAAAAUAAAAAAUGUAUGGAGAGGGACUGAGGGGAGUGAGGAACUCUUUGAGGAGGUGCCACUCUGAGACCCAAAUGACAAGAAGGAAUUAACCACAUGACAUUCUAGAAAGAGGGAAAAGAGUUGCUGUUAAGAAGAUGUGGGUGUGUUAAAAAAAAAUUGCAAAGUCCCUUAGGUACGAUUGAGCUGCUAAUGAUCAAUCUGAGGCUUCUGCUCUGUGUCUUAUAGGUAAACGGGGUAAGGUUUGGUAGGACUGAAAAAUUCAUCCAGCCACCUAUCUAGGGGGUGUGAGGGUCAAGAUGUGGACCCAGGUCUUCUGCCCUUAAGAGCAGAGUGCUUGUCACUACAGCACAAAGAAGGUGCAAGAGAAAGGAAAAGUGAGUGGGAGGCGGUGAGGGAGGAACAGACUGCCUUGUCCUCCACCAGAUCUAAAUCUGUCUCCUCCUGAUGGUUGGCAGGAUUACAGGAUCUGACUCCCAUUUGGGCCUUCCACCUCCGCUGGCCUAAGCAGUCAAGUGUCAGAGAGCACUGGACCUAACAGCUCCCUCACCAGAGCAGCUGUGAUUCCUUCUUCAUUUCCAGCAGGGAAGACCCAACAACUUUUAUAAUAUGGGAUUUCUUUUAUUCUCAUGAUAAUAAUGUUCAUUGUGGAAAAUAAAAAAAAAUGAUAAAAUAAAAAUCAGCCAGAAUUCCAACUUCUGGAGAUUUUGGUGUCUUUCUGCAAAGUUCCUAUGCACAUAGAUACUUUAUAAAAUUAUGAACAUACUGUACAUACAGUUUUGGAAUAUGCCUUUUUCCUUCUGUCAUGAAAAAGUCUUCAAAUGCCUUUUAACAGCUACACAAUAGUUCACUACAUGAACCAACUCAAAUGUAACUAUUUUUGGCCUUUUGUUAUAAAUAACACAAGAACCCUCAGUCUUUGUUACAUAAUGUCCUAACAGAGUAGGGGAAAUGCUCCCCAAUCCGGUGCAAUGUCCUGUGCCCAGGGAAACCAAUU
rnacentral:lncRNA from 10 species